AUAUAGGAUUUAUUGAAAAUUCACAUUGGUACCUCUAUCUAUGUUCUCCUAUUUUCUCUUCAUUCUUCAAACUACUGCAAUUUUCCACCUGACCCCAUCACUCCACAAAAUUGUUUUUACCAAGGUUAAGUAUAACUAUUUUCAAGGUGUCUCUUCUGUAUUUCCUCUUGUGACCCAUGACUUCCCAUCCACAUUAAAAUUAUAACUUCUUCAACACUUCCUAUUUCUUUUAACAUAGUAUAAGUUUUACUUACUUUGUUUAUGUCUGUUUUUCCUGGUUAGAAGGUAAAAUCAGAGAGUAAAAGGAUUUUUCUCUGCAUUCCUAGAAUAUAGAAUCAAAGUGGAACAUCAUAAGAACUCAAUUUGUGUUGAAUGAAUGCACACUGAAUUGUCUUGGUCUUCUACAUUAGGCCAAGAGAUAUUUUGAAGCCUAGAAGGGUUGUUCUUAUCUCUGCAUUUGCCACAUAGCUCAGAGACUGAUCCAUAAGUGAAUUUAUGAGGAGUGCAUGGGGAGUUGCUAUGGCACCAUUUACCCAAUUUGGGUAAUUGCUCUGGAUAUUCCAAGGCCUGAAAAAGUAGUUUUUAAAUGCUUCACUGGAACCCUAGAUCUCCAUUGAAUUAAUAUUAGAAUUUUGCAAACAAUGGAGAUUUAAAUUGCCUAAAGACACUAUCAGUGGUCUGGAGAGAAAUAGAACUAAAAGGAGAUUAUCUAUCUAUCAUCUAUCAUCUAUCUAUCAUCUAUCACCUGGUUAUCUGGAGACUUAUUAUGAGGAAUUGGCUCAUGCAGUUAUGCAGGCAGAGAAGACCCACAAUCCUCUGUAAAUUGGAGACCCAGGGACACCAGUGAUGUAAUGCAAUCCAAGUUUGAAGCUCUGAGAACAGGGGAGCUGAAGAUGUAAUUCCCAGUCCCAGGGCAAAGAAGAUGGGAUGAGAAGUCCCAGUUCAAGCAAUGAGACAAGAAUAAAGGGAUAAAUUCUUCCUUUCUCAACUUUUGUUCUAUUUAGGCCACUAAUAGGUUGGAUGAUGCCCAAACACAUUAGGGAGGGCAACUUACUGGGUCUAUUAAUUCACAUACUGAUCUCCUUCAGAAAUACCCUCAACGUGUCCCCCCCCCCCCCCCCCCCCACACACAUAAACACACACUCAGAAAUGAUGUUUUAUUUGGGCACCGAGUGGCUACUCAAAUUGAUACAUAAAAUUAACCAUCACAUUGUUUAUCCCUUUAAUUUGUGUUAUUUAUUAGGAUUUUUUGAAAAUACUUUUGCUGCUCAAGUAAAUUUAAACCAAAGACAGGAAGGAAAGAAGUUUAGAGAUAAGGACAGGAGAUAACGUUCUCAACUUUGAGUGCACAUUUGAAUCAUUAGGGGAGUUUCUGUACUGAUACCAGACCUCACCCCCAGAAGUAUUGGUAAGGUCAAGAACGGAGCAUAAACAUUUUUUUU